rnacentral:rRNA from 1 species
UACGUAGGGGGCUAGCGUUGUCCGGAUUUAUUGGGCGUAAAGAGCUCGUAGGCGGUUUGUCGCGUCUGCUGUGAAAACCUGAGGCUCAACCUCGGGCUUGCAGUGGGUACGGGCAGACUAGAGUGCGGUAGGGGUGACUGGAAUUCCUGGUGUAGCGGUGGGAUGCGCAGAUAUCAGGAGGAACACCGAUGGCGAAGGCAGGUCACUGGACCGGUACUGACGCUGAGGCGCGAAAGCGUGGGGAGCAAACAGG